AACUAUUCAUUUUUCACUAGUUCUGCAUCAACAGUGGCUUGCUGGGCGCAGACCGUUUUCUGGAGGAGUAAUUCCCUGCAUUAUGGUAGCAUGCAAACAGAACUCAGCAGGAGCGUUAUUACAAGGGCACCUGUCACUCGGCCGUGAGCUAUACGGAAAGACGCCUCUCAGAUAGAGUAAUUCCAGUUUUCACACAACACCACUGAUUUCGCAGCUGGACUUGGAGGCAAUCUGCAUUUUGCUGCGGCGGAUAUCAGCGUCACUGUCAGGCGGAGGAGCAAAGCAGGGACGGCACAUGUGCAUAUGCGAUUCUCUUUCGACGGGGGCUUAAAUGGAACUUCGUGCUGGCUGGCUGUCGGCAGAGUCUUGUUUUGAUUGUCGCUAUGGGAACGGACAGCGUCUGACCCACAGAUGCAAGAGCAAAGGGAUUUGAUCGAUAGACCGAGGCAACAGUAGGUUUCUUCAGCUAAACCAGAUGGAUGAGGAUGUCAAGUCUGAGCAAUUUGAACGCGUGAACCAGAAAAAAAAAUCCCUGCUAAUAUUCAGAACAGUCUCCAAUCUAAUGAAAGAUAGGAAGGAUGCUGGUUCAACUGAGCACAUAAACAUCCUUUCGCCCCCGCACAGCCUAAGGGACAAAUGUGUACGGCAUAAUAAUUAAAAAAAAAAAAAAAGCCGUUGGUGAGCAGGAACCAUUUGUCUCAGGGUUCAGAGUUCACUCGGAUGGUGCAGACGCGAAACCACGAGGGACGAGACGAGUACGUCAGAGUUUCCGAAGAAGAGCCUGAUUUGAAUGCCUCCUAACAAACACGAAGGACCGGUUACAUGCUCAAGAGAUUGUAGGCGUUUGCGUUGAAUAGGCGCUCUUUGUUUACCAAGGCCAAAAACCCAAGCGCGCAGGGGAAUAAGAAGGCUUCUGGCAUGAUUCUGGUAGGAUAUUUUACCACCAUUUUAGAAGAAAUGGGAGAUUGAUUUCCAAGCAUUGAUGAAGCUUUACAGGCUGCAAUCUUGCCGACUACAGAUCCUCCUUCAAAAUCAACACUUGCAACGUCAGCUGAACUUUUUUGAACUCAGUUUUUGUCCGAUGAGACAAAAACUAAGCUGCAAAACAAGCAAACUAGAGAGAGAGAGCUGCAUCAACUUUCAAGCACGGUGGUGGUGGUCGGAUAAAGCAGUUUGAUAUUAAAUCCUGGCUGUGGUUGAGAAGCUGCUCUCACAUUUCUAAUUGUAAGCAGGUCAGUUGUUCAUGGCAAGUAAAGUUUGUAAUUUCUCUGCAAUGUGCUAACGGCCAUUUACGCAAAUAUCAAGGGUAUGUAAAGCUCUGGAAAAAACUAAGAGACCUCUGCACUGAACCCCAUUGAAAACCUCAUGGUUGUUCCA